rnacentral:tRNA from 1 species
GCCCUGGUGGCACAAUGGUUAACUGCUCAGCUGCUAACUGAAAUGUUGGUGGUUUGAAUCCACCCAGUGGCU